AACGAACGCUGGCGGCAGGCCUAACACAUGCAAGUCGAACGCUCUCUUCGGAGGGAGUGGCAGACGGGUGAGUAACACGUGGGAACCUACCCCUUGGUACGGAAUAACUGAUGGAAACGUUAGCUAAUACCGUAUGAGCGCUGAGGCGGAAAGAUUUAUCGCCAAGGGAUGGGCCCGCGUAGGAUUAGCUAGUUGGUGGGGUAAAGGCCUACCAAGGCGACGAUCCUUAGCUGGUCUGAGAGGAUGAUCAGCCACACUGGGACUGAGACACGGCCCAGACUCCUACGGGAGGCAGCAGUGGGGAAUAUUGGACAAUGGGCGCAAGCCUGAUCCAGCCAUGCCGCGUGAGUGAUGAAGGCCUUAGGGUUGUAAAGCUCUUUCACCUGGGAAGAUAAUGACGGUACCAGGAGAAGAAGCCCCGGCUAACUUCGUGCCAGCAGCCGCCGUAACAC
rnacentral:rRNA from 1 species